rnacentral:rRNA from 1 species
GACGAACGCUGGCGGCGUGCUUAACACAUGCAAGUCGAGCGGUAAGGCCCUUUCGGGGGUACGACGAGCGGCGAACGGGUGAGUAACACGUGGGUGACCUGCCCUCAGCUCUGGGAUAAGCCUGGGAAACUGGGUCUAAUACCGGAUAUGACUCCAUGACGCAUGUUGUGGGGUGGAAAGCCCUGUGCGGCCGAGGAUGGGCCCGCGGCCUAUCAGCUUGUUGGUGGGGUGAUGGCCUACCAAGGCGACGACGGGUAGCCGGCCUGAGAGGGCGACCGGCCACACUGGGACUGAGACACGGCCCAGACUCCUACGGGAGGCAGCAGUGGGGAAUCUUGCGCAAUGGGCGAAAGCCUGACGCAGCGACGCCGCGUGAGGGAUGACGGCCU